AUGAAAAUUCUUCAUGACUCUGGCGAAGCAACAGGGCUGCACAUCAACCCCUCAAAGUCUGUGACAUUACCCAUUCGAUGCAAGAACAUAGACCUCGCGGACGCGCUACAGAAUUUUGGAGGGACCCAGGGGCAUGUCCCAUCCACUUACCUAGGGUUGCCACUCACCCUCUCCAGGCUUAGAUUAGCAAACUUGUAGUUCAUCAUAGAUAGGAUCAAAGCCCAACUUGCGGGUUGGAAAGGAAAGCUGCUACCCAUAGCCAGCAGGCGGAUC
rnacentral:rRNA from 1 species